UACAGAGUAAAGUGGCGUACGGGUGAGUAACACGUGGGUAAUCUACCUUAGAAUCCGGAAUAACCUGCCGAAAGGCGGGCUAAUACUGGAUAGUUCAAGCUUGUUGUAGAGACAAGAUUGGGGAAGGGAGCCGGUAACGGCCUUCGUUUUAAGAUGAGCCCGCGUCUGAUUAGCUAGUUGGUAAGGUAAUGGCUUACCAAGGCGAUGAUCAGUAGCUGGUCUGAGAGGAUGAUCAGCCACACUGGAACUGAAACACGGUCCAGACUCCUACGGGAGGCAGCAGUGGGGAAUCUUGCGCAAUGGACGAAAGUCUGACGCAGCCACGCCGCGUGAGUGAAGAAGGCCUUCGGGUUGUAAAGCUCUGUCGGAAGGGACAAAAACCAUCUGGGUUAAUAGCCCAGGUGCUUGAUGGUACCUUUAAAGGAAGCACCGGCUAACUUCGUGCCAGCAGCCGCGGUAAUACGAAGGGUGCAAGCGUUGCUCGGAAUUAUUGGGCGUAAAGGGU
rnacentral:rRNA from 1 species